rnacentral:tRNA from 1 species
UUGUAGUCUAGUUGGUUAGGAUGCUCGGCUCUCACCCGAGAGACCCGGGUUCUUGUCCUGGCAA